ACCCGCUGGACUUAAGCAUAUCACUAAGCGGAGGAAAAGAAACUAACUAGGAUUCCCCCAGUAACUGCGAGUGAAGAGGGAAGAGCUCAUCAUUGGAAUCUGGCAGCGUUGCGCUGUCCGAGUUGUAGAUGAGAAGAGUGGGACAUCUGGACUGCAUGGUGUCCAAGUACAAUAGGCCGUCAGUGGGACAUCAUAGAGGGUGACAAUCCCGUCCUUGACACCAAUGUACGAGUCCUUUACGAUGCCUAUCUCGGAGAGUCGAGCAGUUUGGGAUUUGCUGCUUAAACACGGGAGGUAGAUUCCUUCCAAAGCUAAAUACAGGCAAGAGACCGAUAGUGAACAAGUACCGCAAGGGAAAGAUGAAAUAGAACUCUGUGAAGGGAGUCAAAAAGACGUGAAAUUGUUGCGAGAGAAGCGAUUCAAGUCAGCGUAGCUGGGCCCAUCAAGCCUCGCGCUUUGGACCAGCUUUGCCAGCGGUCUUGUCCCUAGAGACUUGACUAAGGUGCCCUGCCCGGUCUAACGGACAGGCCUCCCCUCUGGGGAGGCCAGUGGCAUGGCUGGUGGAAUGGCUUGCAAUCGACCCGUCUUGAAACACGGACCAAGGAGUCUAACAUGUACGCGAGUAUAAGGGUGGCAAACCCGUAUGCGCAAAGAAAGUGAUAGCCUUUAUGGCUGAGAAUGACCUGACGACCAGACAAGAAAUAUCAUGUCCCUCGUACGGUCAUUGCCCAAGUCCUAUGGUCAGAUCCCAUGGACAUGGAGUUGGAGCGUGCAUGCUAGGACCCGAAAGAUGGUGAACUAUGCCUGGACAAAGCGAAGCCAAAGGAAACUCUGGUGGAGGCUUGUAGCGAUUCUGACGUGCAAAUCGAUCGUCUGAUCUGGGUAUAGGGGCGAAAGACUAAUCGAACCAU
rnacentral:rRNA from 1 species